rnacentral:rRNA from 1 species
GGUCAAGUUAUUAAGGGUGCAGGGCGGAUGCCUUGGCACUAGGAGCCGAUGAAGGACGUGAUAAGCUGCGAUAAGCUGCGGGGAGUUGCACGUAAACUUUGAUCCGAACCAUUUCCGAAUGAGGAAACUCACUUAGAGUAAUGUCUAAGUAUCAUUAAGUGAAUACAUAACUUAGGGAGGGGAACUCAGGGAACUGAAACAUCUACGUACCUGAAAGAAGAGAAAGAAAUUCGAUUCCGUAAGUAGCGGCGAGCGAACGCGGAUUAGCCCAAACCAAUAAAGUUUUCUUGGGUGGGGUUGCGGACAUAUCAUAACGAAUAGGUAUCGUAAUUGAGGAGGUUUGGAAAGACCCACCACGGAAGGUAAUAGUCCUGUAUGUUAAACGAGAAGACUUUAGAUAUGAUCCAGAGUACCACGGGACACGUGAAACCCUGUGGGAAGCGGGAGGGACCACCCUCGAAGGCUAAAUACUACCUACUGACCGAUAGCGUAUAGUACCGUGAGGGAAAGGUGAAAAGAACCCCGGGAGGGGAGUGAAAUAGAACCUGAAACCCUGCACUUACUAGCUGUGGAAGCACAUGUCUUGUGUGACCGCGUACUUUUUGUAGAACGGGCCAACGAGUUACGUUAAGUAGCAAGGUUAAGCACUUAAGGUGCGGAGCCGUAGCGAAAGCGAGUUUUAACUGAGCGUUCAGUUACUUGACGUAGACCCGAAACCGGGCGACCUACCCAUGAGCAGGAUGAAGCGAAAGUAAAAUUUCGUGGAGGUCCGAACCCACGAGCGUUGAAAAGCUCGGGGAUGACUUGUGGGUAGCGGUGAAAUUCCAAUCGAGCCCGGAGAUAGCUGGUUCUCCCCGAAAUAGCUUUAGGGCUAGCCUCAAGGUGAGAGAUACGGAGGUAGAGCACUGAAUGUCCUAGGGGGUAUUGCACCUACCGAAGACUAUCAAACUCCGAAUGCCGUCAUCUUAUACUUGGGAGUCAGACUGUGGGUGAUAAGAUUCAUAGUCGAAAGGGCAACAGCCCAGAUCGUCAGCUAAGGUCCCUAAAUGUAAGUUAAGUGGUAAAGGAUGUGGGAUUGCACAGACAACCAGGAUGUUGGCUUAGAAGCAGCCACUCAUUCAAAGAGUGCGUAAUAGCUCACUGGUCGAGUGAUCCUGCGCCGAAGAUUUCCGGGGCUAAAACUUACUACCGAAGCUACGGCAUCAGUAAUGAUGGGUAGGGGAGCUUCCCAUACGGGUUGAAGCAUGACCGUAAGGACAUGUGGACAGUAUGGGAGUGAGAAUGUUGGCAUGAGUAGCGAGAUGUGGGUGAGAAUCCCACAGGCCGUAAACCCAAGGUUUCCAGGGGAAGGUUCGUCCGCCCUGGGUUAGUCGGGACCUAAGCUGAGGCCGAAAGGCGUAGGUGAUGGACAACAGGUUGAUAUUCCUGUACUACCGAUAACCGUUUGAGAGAAGGGAUGACACAGUAGGAUAAGCUAAGCACACUGUUGGUUAUGUGUGCCCAAGCAUUGAGGCAGUCAAAGUAGGCAAAUCCGCUUUGAUAAUGCUGGGAUGUGAUGGGGAGCGAAAUUUAGUAGCGAAGUAGCUGAUUUCACACUGUCAAGAAAAGUCUCUAUCGAGGUUAAAGGUACCCGUACCGCAAACCGACACAGGUGGGUGAGGAGAGUAUCCUAAGGCCAGCGAGAGAACUGUUGUUAAGGAACUCGGCAAAAUGACCCCGUAACUUAGGGAUAAGGGGUGCCACCAUCAGGUGGCCGCAGAGAAUAGGCCCAAGCGACUGUUUACCAAAAACAUAGGUUUCUGCUAAGUCGCAAGACGAUGUAUAGGAGCUGACGCCUGCCCGGUGCUGGAAGGUUAAGGGGAUCUGUUAGAGCAAUCGAAGCAGUGAACUUAAGCCCCAGUAAACGGCGGCCGUAACUAUAACGGUCCUAAGGUAGCGAAAUUCCUUGUCGGGUAAGUUCCGACCCGCACGAAAGGCGUAACGAUUUGGGCACUGUCUCAACAACAGACUCGGUGAAAUUGUAAUUCCGGUGAAGAUGCCGGAUACCUGCGACAGGACGGAAAGACCCCAUGGAGCUUUACUGUAGCUUGACAUUGGGUCUUGGUACUACAUGUACAGGAUAGGUGGGAGGCUUUGAAACCAGGACGCCAGUUUUGGCGGAGCCAUCCUUGGGAUACCACCCUUGUAGUACUGGGACUCUAACCAUAGGCCAUGAAUCUGGUCUUGGGACACUGUCAGGUGGGCAGUUUGACUGGGGCGGUCGCCUCCCAAAAGGUAACGGAGGCGCUCAAAGGUUCUCUCAGUACGGUCGGAAAUCGUACGUAGAGUGUAAAGGCAAAAGAGAGCUUGAUUGCAAGACAUACAGGUCGAGCAAGGAUGAAAAUCGGACUUAGUGAUCCGGUGGUUCUGCGUGGAAGGGCCAUCGCUCAACGGAUAAAAGCUACCCUGGGGAUAACAGGCUUAUCUCCCCCAAGAGUCCACAUCGACGGGGAGGUUUGGCACCUCGAUGUCGGCUCAUCACAUCCUGGGGCUGUAGUAGGUCCCAAGGGUUGGGCUGUUCGCCCAUUAAAGUGGUACGCGAGCUGGGUUCAGAACGUCGUGAGGCAGUUCGGUCCCUAUCCGUCGCAGGCGUAGAAAAUUUGAGAAGACCUGUCCUUAGUACGAGAGGACCGGGAUGGACGUACCUCUGGUGUACCAGUUGUUCUGCCAAGGGCAUGGCUGGGUAGCUAUGUACGGAAUGGAUAAGCGCUGAAAGCAUCUAAGCGCGAAGCCAACUUCAAGAUAAGAUUUCCCACCGCAAGGGUAAGACCCCAGAAAGACUAUCUGGUUGAUAGGUCGAAGGUGUAAGUGCAGCAAUGUAUUUAGCUUAUCGAUACUAAUAGGUCGAGGACUUGACCAA